rnacentral:ncRNA from 1 species
ACCCUCCGCGCUGCUUCAGGUGCCCCCUGGCGAAACGCCAGAGGGGUGAAACAGGGAAGCCGGUUCAUUCGAUGAAGAUUCCGGCGCUGCCCCCGCAACGGUAGGCGAGACAGGACACCGCUCACAGCCACUGUGCCACAGGCAUGGGAAGGCUGCGGUUCCAGGAUGCAAGGCAUCCGCUCGCAAGCCCGGAGACCGGCCUGUCGCAUUCCACGGCAG